CCCCUUGCUAUAAUCACUAAGCUCUUUUAAGAGCUUGUUCCAGCUUCGCUCUCUGCAGGGAGAGGUUCGGUCUGCAGUGCUUACGGUGUCUGGAGAAGAGCUUGGAGCCCUCAGGAAGCACAAGGAACAUCCAUCAACUGAAGUACUCGAUUGGAGUACUGGAGUUCCGUUACAAUCAUCAUAUGUUUCGAUUUCUAAUUUUAAGUUUAACUUUG